GCAUGAAGUGCAGCAUGAGAGUUACAGAGAUGAAAGAUGUGGUUCCUGUCUUGGACAAACCUUCAGUCUAAUGGGGAAAACAAACAAAGAAGCAAAAGACGGAUAUCGCAGACUGAAGAAGUUCAGACACAGUUCAUGGGAAGAGCUGAUGUUGGAAAGACCUUUUUGUGAUGGGGGAAGCAGUAGUGGUUAAAGCCGAGAAGUUGCUCUGGCUAGGACUUUCAAUACUAUGUUGAAUAAAAGUGUGAGAAUGGGCAUCCUUGAAUUGUUCCUGACCCUAGAGGAAAAGCUUCCAACUUUUACCAUUGAGUAUGAUGUUAGCUGUGGGCUUGUCAUAUGUGUCCUUAAUUAUGUUGAGCUGGAACUUCAGUCUCAGAAAUAAAGAUCAAGCACACAGCACAUUCCAACAAGUCCCACUGAGGCAUGGGUGGCCCUGGAGCAGGUGGGUGUCUCAGGAGAUCAUUAUCUGGCUGGAAGAACUUUAAGAAGAAUGGCUAUGGCACAGAUCUAAGGAG
rnacentral:lncRNA from 1 species